CGAACGCUUUAAAACGUUUAGAUCAGAGAAGAACACAGCAAGACUCAGCUGCAACGCACAAAACUUUCGAGUAAAGGACGUUGUAGAGCGGAAUAGAACGUUGAAUUGAGCGGCAAGCCUGGAAACUUCACCUUAUUGGAUUAUACUUGGUCAUGUGUCGGUCAUGUGAAGAUUUUGCUCAUGAAAGACUGGGACUAGUGAUCGUGUGAUCCAUUCAGCGCCAUGGUCGCCAUCUUAUGAACGGUGAUCGAAGUAGCGAUAAAUGACUUUUAAAGUUAGUGUUAACGCCUGCUAGUAUGAACCAUGGAUGGGAAUGAACAUCAAAUUUACAAAUUAGUCAAACUUAACGGCCAAGAGAAGUAUGAAUGUACGGCUUGUAAACGUGUUCUCUCACGACAACAGACAAUGGAAAAUCACAUGCGCUCUGUGCAUCGUUACGUUGGACCGGGUCUGACCUGAAAGCAAAGAGUGUCACUGAAAUUUUGGAGAAGAUUAUGCUUCUAAAUGGCAAUUCCAGAAACCAUGUUAUAAUAAGAUUUCCAAACUUUAAUGCUGUCUGUGGUUAGAUAUAAGAAAAUAUCACUUUUUAAGUCUCAAUAUGCCAGAUUUGAAAUUUCCCAUCGCUUCAAAUAAGACUUCCUUGUUAUAAUAUUUAAGUAAAGAUAUGUUCUUAAGCUUUUUGUAUAAAAUAUUCUAAUCUGGCAAAUAAAUUGAUACUUGAUACUAUCUAUAUUGAACUUAAGUUUACUUUAAAUGGAAAGUAUGUAGAAUUCACCAUAUAAUUGGAAUAAAUCAGGAGACAGUGCAAAAUUAUGUUGGCUGAAUCUUACACAUUGUGAUAAACCAUUUUUCAGGGAUGCCUCAGGCUGAUAUAACUUUGUAUUUCAGUGUGGUCAGAGUCGCUGUCCUUGCAGUAUAGCAUUUUUUAUUAUCUGACUGGAGCACCAAACACAUGGAUUGAAAUCCCACUUGAAUUGCAUUUGAUUUAGUUUUCUGCUUGUAUUCUUUACUACAGUAAAUUUUUAUUUCAAUGUAUUGUGAUAUGCAAUUGAAGGAUAAAAAAUUAAUGUUUUAUUGGAAAUUGUAUAAACUUCAAGAAUAUCUGCUUUAAAAUUAAUGAGUUGUAAAUUAUAAUGCAAAAUAAAAAAAAUUUGUGGUAUAUU
rnacentral:lncRNA from 1 species